rnacentral:rRNA from 1 species
CCUACGGGUGACUGCAGUGGGGGAUAUUUCACAAUGGGGGAAACCCUGAUGCAGCGACGCCGCGUGGGUGAAGAAGUAUUUCGGUAUGUAAAGCCCUAUCAGCAGGGAAGAAAGAAGACGUUACCUGUCUAAGAAUCUCCGGAUAACUACGUGCCAGCAGCCGCGGUAAUACGUAGGUGGCGAGCGUUAGCCGGAUUCCCUGGGUGUAAAGGGAGCGUAGACGGCCGUGCAGGCCAGGCGUGAAAGCCCGGGGCCCAACCCCGUGACUGCUUUGGGAACUGUGCGGAUAGAGUGCGGGAGGGGCAGGCGGAAUUCCUGGUGUAGGGGUGAAAGGCGUAGAUAUCAGGAGGAACACCGGCGGCGAAGGCGGCCUGCUGGACCGCGACUGACGUUGAGGCUCGAAAGCGUGGGGAGCGAACAGGAUUAGAUACCCGGGUAGUC